AGACCCGAAACCCGGUGAUCUAGCCAUGGGCAGGUUGAAGGUUGGGUAACACUAACUGGAGGACCGAACCGACUAAUGUUGAAAAAUUAGCGGAUGACCUGUGGCUGGGGGUGAAAGGCCAAUCAAACCGGGAGAUAGCUGGUUCUCCCCGAAAGCUAUUUAGGUAGCGCCUCGUGAAUUCAUCUCCGGGGGUAGAGCACUGUUUCGGCUAGGGGGCCAUCCCGGCUUACCAACCCGAUGCAAACUGCGAAUACCGGAGAAUGUUAUCACGGGAGACACACGGCGGGUGCUAACGUCCGUCGUGAAGAGGGAAACAACCCAGACCGCCAGCUAAGGUCCCAAAGUCAUGGUUAAGUGGGAAACGAUGUGGGAAGGCCCAGACAGCCAGGAUGUUGGCUUAGAAGCAGCCAUCAUUUAAAGAAAGCGUAAUAGCUCACUGGUCGAGUCGGCCUGCGCGGAAGAUGUAACGGGGCUAAACCAUGCACCGAAGCUGCGGCAGCGAACGUAUCACCCAAGACAACUUUACGGAGUUGACGAUUGACGGAGCGAAGCGACGUCAAAGCGUUCAUUAAAGUCAAGUUGGCUUAGGGAUACGUUCGUUGGGUAGGGGAGCGUUCUGUAAGCCUGUGAAGGUGUGUCGUGAGG
rnacentral:rRNA from 1 species